AGCAACAGCAACAGCAGUCACACUGCACUUUCUGCUACCGCUACUAAUGUUAACACAGCGCUCUUGGCAUGAAAUCUCUGUUGCAGGCAUUAUGAGACUAGAUUCAGAAGUGCAGUGGUGAAAACUGCACUUUUGUCACCACACCAAGGGGCAUAGCACGUGACAGCAGAGAGAGUCUGAAUCCCAUCUGGCUCCCAUCUGGACUACAGGCUCUGGAACAACCCUCUGGUAGGCAAGGCUGCAGUGGAGAUGGGCAGACUCGUGUCUGGCCUUGCUGUCUGAGGCAGCCCCUCUCCUUAGGGCCCUCAACAGAAUGGACGCUGUAACCGUGCUGCUCAUUCGCAGAGCCCAGAGGUGGAUAUUGCCCUGGUGACUGCCCAGUGCCAGACUCUGCACUCUUGGAAGAGAAUCUAGGUCACAGAUUCUCUUUGGGAACAAGUACAUCUUAUGCUGCCAAGGGAAACAAACUGGCUUGAAAGAAAUAGGAGAAAGGGGAGAAAUGACUGAGUGUUCAAAACAAGGACACUACAGAAAAGCUUACGGUUCUGUGGUGGAUGAGGUGUUUCCAGGAAGGAAGAAGAGGAGAAGAAGGAAGAUGUUUGGUUUGCUGAGCAGCCUGUCCUUCCCCAUGGUGCAGAGCAGGACGUGGAAUGCUAAUAUGGUGGAAGGAGAAGAGGAGGACUACAGGCCAGGAGUGAACGGCAGCAGGAAACCUGUGUGUUGAAGUUACAAGAAGAACAGGAAGCGGACAAGGGACAAGUUUCCUUGAAGGAGAGAAGCCCAAGACAGAAUAUUCUACAUGGCGACCUGUGGGAGUUUUGCACAUGCUGGAAAAUCACGGUCCAUGACUGACCUCAGGAAAUAUAAAACAGAUUCUGCUUUGAGUCUAUUCAGAGCAAAAUCUAUUUCAAAUCUGUGCUGCAAAAGAGGGAAAAAGUAGGAGGGAAGACCA